UACGUAGGUGGCGAGCGUUGGCCGGAUUUACUGGGCGUAAAGAGCGCGCAGGCGGUCGUUCAAGUCGCGUGUGAAAGCCCCCGGCUCAACUGGGGAGGGUCACGCGAUACUGAUCGACUCGAAGGCAGGAGAGGGAAGUGGAAUUCCCGGUGUAGUGGUGAAAUGCGUAGAUAUCGGGAGGAACACCUGUGGCGAAGGCGGCAUCCUGGACCGAUACUGACGCUGAGGAGCGAAAGCCAGGGGAGCAAACGGG
rnacentral:rRNA from 1 species